rnacentral:rRNA from 1 species
CAGAGUUUGAUCAUGCUCAGGAUGAACGCCGGCGGCGUGCUUAACACAUUCAAGUCGAACGGAGUUCAAUUGGGAGCUUGCUCCCGGCUGAACUUAGUGGCGGACGGGUGAGUAAUGCAUGAGCAACCUGCCUUCAGGAGGGGGAUAACAUCGGGAAACCGGUGCUAAUACCGCAUAGAGCAUUUUGCAGGCAUCUGCGAGAUGGGAAAGGAGCAAUCCGCCUGGAGAUGGGCU